rnacentral:rRNA from 1 species
CGGGGCUUAAAGUCUUGUAAUUGGAAUGAUGGGAAUUUAAACCUCUUCCAGAGUAUCAAUUGGAGGGCAAGUCUGGUGCCAGCAGCCGCGGUAAUUCCAGCUCCAAUAGCGUAUAUUAAAAUUGUUGCAGUUAAAAAGCUCGUAGUUGAAUUUCUGCUGCAUUGCUUGUGUCCCUCUGGGGUCUGUGCAUGUGGCUUUUUUCGGACGGAGUUUCUUUGUCUGAAUGUUUACUUUGAGAAAAUUAGAGUGCUCAAAGCAGGCUUUCGCCUUGAAUAGUUUAGCAUGGAAUAAUAAAGUAGGGCUUUGGUUCUAUUUUGUUGGUUUUAGGUACCAAAGUAAUGGUUAAUAGGAACAGUUGGGGGCAUUCGUAUUUAACUGUCAGAGGUGAAAUUCUUAGAUUUGUUAAAGACGAACUACUGCGAAAGCAUUUGCCAAGGAUGUUUUCAUUAAUCAAGAAC